GACGAACGCUGGCGGCGUGCCUAACACAUGCAAGUCAAGGGGAAAGUUUUGCUUCGGCGGAGCGAGUAUACUGGCGGACGGGUGAGUAACGCGUAGGCAACCUGCCCUUACGGAUGGGAUAACCCAGCGAAAGUUGGACUAAUACCGUAUAAAGCGACUGUAUUACCUGAUAUAGUUGUCAAAGGUUGCUUUUCGGAGCAAUCGCGUAAGGAUGGGCCUGCGUUCCAUUAGCUAGUUGGUGAGGUAACGGCUCACCAAGGCGACGAUGGAUAGCUGGUUUGAGAGAGUGAUCAGCCACACUGGGACUGAGAUACGGCCCAGACUCCUACGGGAGGCAGCAGUGAGGAAUAUUGCGCAAUGGAGGAAACUCUGACGCAGCAACGCCGCGUGGGGGAUGAAGUUCUAUGGAGUGUAAACCCCUGUAAGUAGGGACGAAAGUUAUAUAUUCGAAUAGGGUAUAUAUA
rnacentral:rRNA from 1 species